AACACUCGGAUCAACUUCUCCUCCUCUAGGGCCGUGAGUGAUGAAGAGACAAUGACGGGCAAUGUCUCGUUGUCUCCCAGAAAGAUGUACUUUAAAUGAUCGGGCAACGGUUUAAGCUCAAGUACGGGUGCCUGAAUCACUGAGGGUAACAUCUUAUUAGUGGAAACUGGAAUUGAAAUUGGGUUAGAAGGCUUACCAUGGUGUUGAGGGAGUGACUCAAGGGCAGCCACUAUCUCGGCCUCCUCCUCACUUCUAGGCACGGCAAAACCAGAUGUUUGCCCAAUUCCUUGUGCAAUUGUCGUUUCAAGUGUAUCCCUCUCCAAACAAUCGAGAAAAUCCUGCGCCAAAUCAUCAAUUAUAUCAAUAGAAAAGC
rnacentral:lncRNA from 1 species